rnacentral:rRNA from 1 species
GAUGAACGCUGGCGGCGUGCCUAAUACAUGCAAGUCGAGCGAACAGACGAGGAGCUUGCUCCUCUGACGUUAGCGGCGGACGGGUGAGUAACACGUGGAUAACCUACCUAUAAGACUGGGAUAACUUCGGGAAACCGGAGCUAAUACCGGAUAAUAUAUUGAACCGCAUGGUUCAAUAGUGAAAGAAGGUUUUGCUGUCACUUAUAGAUGGAUCCGCGCCGCAUUAGCUAGUUGGUAAGGUAACGGCUUACCAAGGCAACGCUGCGUAGCCGACCUGAGAGGGGGAACGGCCACACUGGAACUGAGACACGAUCCAGACUCCGACGGACGGCAGCAGUAGGGAAUCUUCCGCGAUGGGCGAAAUCCUGACGGAGCAACGCCGCGUGAGUGAUGAAGGUCUUCGGAUCGUAAAACUCUGUUAUUAGGGAAGAACAAAUGUGUAAGUAACUAUGCACGUCUUGACGGUACCUAAUCAGAAAGCCACGGCUAACUACGUG